CCUACGGGAGGCAGCAGUAAGGAAUAUUGGACAAUGGGCGCAAGCCUGAUCCAGCCAUGCCGCGUGAAGGAUUAAGGUCCUCUGGAUUGUAAACUUCUUUUAUAGGGGACGAAAAAAGGGCAUUCUUGCUCACUUGACGGUACCCUAUGAAUAAGCACCGGCUAACUCCGUGCCAGCAGCCGCGGUAAUACGGAGGGUGCAAGCGUUAUCCGGAUUCACUGGGUUUAAAGGGUGCGUAGGCGGGCAGUUAAGUCAGUGGUGAAAUCUCCGAGCUCAACUCGGAAACUGCCAUUGAUACUAUCUGUCUUGAAUAUUGUGGAGGUAAGCGGAAUAUGUCAUGUAGCGGUGAAAUGCUUAGAUAUGACAUAGAACACCUAUUGCGAAGGCAGCUUACUACGCAUAUAUUGACGCUGAGGCACGAAAGCGUGGGGAUCAAACAGGAUUAGAUACCCUGGUAGUCCACGCCCUAAACGAUGGAUACUCGACAUACGCGAUACACUGUGUGUGUCUGNGNGAAGANAUAGUAUCCACCGNGGAGUACGUCCGCGAGAGAGAAGUAAUAGAGUAGAGCGNGAGAGNGCGACGGACGACACGAGGGGAGGUUAGG
rnacentral:rRNA from 1 species